UACGUAGGGGGCAAGCGUUGUCCGGAUUCAUUGGGCGUAAAGAGCGUGUAGGCGGCCAGGUAGGUCAGCUGUGAAAACUCGAGGCUCAACCUCGAGACGUCGGUUGAAACCACCUGGCUAGAGUCCGGAAGAGGAGAGUGGAAUUCCUGGUGUAGCGGUGAAAUGCGCAGAUAUCAGGAAGAACACCCGUGGCGAAGGCGGCUCUCUGGGACGGUACUGACGCUGAGACGCGAAAGCGUGGGGAGCGAACAGG
rnacentral:rRNA from 1 species